rnacentral:sRNA from 1 species
UUUUGGAUGAUGAGAAG